rnacentral:rRNA from 1 species
CAAUAGCGUAUAUUAAAGUUGUUGCGGUUAAAAAGCUCGUAGUUGGAUUUCUGCCGAGGACGACCGGUCCGCCCUCUGGGUGUGUAUCUGGUUUGGCCUGGGCAUCUUCUUGGAGAACGUAGCUGCACUUGACUGUGUGGUGCGGUGUCCAGGACUUUUACUUUGAGGAAAUUAGAGUGUUUCAAGCAGGCACACGCCUUGAAUACAUUAGCAUGGAAUAAUAAGAUAGGACCUCGGUUCUAUUUUGUUGGUUUCUAGAGCUGAGGUAAUGAUUAAUAGGGAUAGUUGGGGGCAUUCGUAUUUAACUGUCAGAGGCGAAAUUCUUGGAUUUGUUAAAGACGGACUACUGCGAAAGCAUUUGCCAAGGAUGUUUUCAUUAA